GACGAACGCUGGCGGCGUGCUUAACACAUGCAAGUCGAACGGAAAGGCCCUGCUUUUGUGGGGUGCUCGAGUGGCGAACGGGUGAGUAACACGUGAGUAACCUGCCCUUGACUUUGGGAUAACUUCAGGAAACUGGGGCUAAUACCGGAUAGGAGCUCCUGCUUCAUGGUGGGGGUUGGAAAGUUUCGGCGGUUGGGGAUGGACUCGCGGCUUAUCAGCUUGUUGGUGGGGUAGUGGCUUACCAAGGCUUUGACGGGUAGCCGGCCUGGGAGGGUGACCGGCCACAUUGGGACUGAGAUACGGCCCAGACUCCUACGGGAGGCAGCAGUGUGGAAUAUUGCAACAUGGGCGGAAGCCUGAUGCAGCCACGCCGCGUGCGGGAUGACGGCCUUCGGGUUGUAAACCGCUUUCGCCUGUGACGAAGCGUGAGUGACGGUAAUGGGUAAAGAAGCACCGGCUAACUACGUG
rnacentral:rRNA from 1 species